CCUACGGGAGGCUGCAGUGGGGGAUAUUGGACAAUGGGGGCAACCCUGAUCCAGCCAUGCCGCGUGUGUGAAGAAGGCCCUCGGGUUGUAAAGCACUUUCAGUGAGGAAGAACGCCUGGUGGUUAAUACCCAUCAGGAAAGACAUCACUCACAGAAGAAGCACCGGCUAACUCCGUGCCAGCAGCCGCGGUAAUACGGAGGGUGCGAGCGUUAAUCGGAAUUACUGGGCGUAAAGCGCGCGUAGGUGGCUUGAUAAGCCGGUUGUGAAAGCCCCGGGCUCAACCUGGGAACGGCAUCCGGAACUGUCAAGCUAGAGUGCAGGAGAGGAAGGUAGAAUUCCCGGUGUAGCGGUGAAAUGCGUAGAGAUCGGGAGGAAUACCAGUGGCGAAGGCGGCCUUCUGGACUGACACUGACACUGAGGUGCGAAAGCGUGGGUAGCAAACAGGAUUAGAUACCCCAGUAGUC
rnacentral:rRNA from 1 species